UUAACUUUUAAAGAUGAACCCUAAAAAGUUCUAAAAGCACAAAGAUUUGGUCCUGGUCUUAUUGUCAGUUAUCUCUUGAUUUACACAUGCAAGUCUCAGCACACCAGUGAGGACGCCCUUACCCCUUCUAUAGGACAAGGAGCUGAUAUCAGGCACUUCCACCGCCCAUAACAUCUAGUCCGACCACACCCCCAAGGGUAUUCAGCAGUGAUAAACAUUGUUUAUAAGCGACAGCUUGACUCAGUCAAAGAGAAGAGGGCCGGCCAACCCGGUGCCAGCCGCCGCGGCUAAACCCUAGGGCCCAAAUUGAUAAUACUCGGCGUCAAUCGUGAUUAAAGCUUUCUAAAAUUAGAGUAGAACCUAUUAUUAAGCUGUGAAAAGCAAUUUUUUUAGGGAAAAUCAGAAACGAAAGUUACUCUAAUAUACACUUGAACACACGACAACUGGGAAACAAACUGG
rnacentral:rRNA from 1 species